UACAGAGGGGGCAAGCGUUGUUCGGAAUUAUUGGGCGUAAAGAGCUCGUAGGCGGCUUGGCAAGUCGGAUGUGAAAACUCCAGGCUCAACCUGGAGCCGCCAUUCGAUACUGCUAUGGCUAGAGUCCGGUAGGGGAGUGUGGAAUUCCCGGUGUAGCGGUGAAAUGCGCAGAUAUCGGGAGGAACACCGAUGGCGAAGGCAGCACUCUGGGCCGGUACUGACGCUGAGGAGCGAAAGCGUGGGGAGCGAACAGG
rnacentral:rRNA from 1 species